UUGAGCCUGAGGCGCGCCUUUAAUGACUAUGCUAUCCAGGCAAACGUGAUAACCUAAUGACUAUCAAUAUGAAAAUUGAGUGGGUUACUUUACAACGUUGUUAAUCCUAGAAGAUGCUCUGCCUUUAAGAGGCCAGUUUAGGUCACUAUAAGCUUUAGCUUGAAAUCUAAAGUUUCAGAAUAAGCCAAAUCAAGCUUUAAAAA
rnacentral:misc_RNA from 1 species